rnacentral:misc_RNA from 1 species
AGGAUAUCCAUGGCCAAAAUAAUGGAAAAUCCUUGGUUUCGUAAGGAUUUGGAACCUCAAUCCCUAAUUGUGGAGACACACACAAAAGAAUCAGCUUAUCUGGAUUAUGAUGCUGUGUUUAAUGUGAAUGAGAGUAGCUGUGCUGUCACAGAGUCCAAGCAAGAAUUAGGAAAACCUUGCAACUUGAAUGCGUUUGAUAUCAUCUCCUAUUCUGCAGGCUUUGACUUGUCUGGCUUGUUUGAGGAAAAGGAGAAAAAGAAAGAGGUGCGGUUUACUUCCAACAAGCCUUCCGUAAUCAUCAUCUCAAAGCUUGAAGACAUUGCUAACCGUCUGAAGCUGAAAAUAAAGAAGAAGGAUGCAGGCUUGUUGAAAUUUGAAGGUUCAAA